rnacentral:rRNA from 1 species
AGGACGAACGCUGGCGGCGUGCUUAACACAUGCAAGUCGAGCGGAAAGGCCCUUCCGGGGGUACUCGAGCGGCGAACGGGUGAGUAACACGUGAGUAACCUGCCCUUGGCUUUGGGAUAACCCUCGGAAACGGGGGCUAAUACCGAAUAUUCACUGCUCCUCGCAUGGGGGGUGGUGGAAAGAUUUUUUGGCUGGGGAUGGGCUCGCGGCCUAUCAGCUUGUUGGUGGGGUGAUGGCCUACCAAGGCGACGACGGGUA